rnacentral:rRNA from 1 species
UACGUAGGUGGCAAGCGUUGUCCGGAUUUACUGGGUGUAAAGGGCGUGCAGCCGGGCUGACAAGUCAGAUGUGAAAUCCCGAGGCUCAACCGCGGAACUGCAUUUGAAACUGUUGAUCUUGAGUACUGGAGAGGCAGACGGAAUUCCUAGUGUAGCGGUGAAAUGCGUAGAUAUUAGGAGGAACACCAGUGGCGAAGGCGGUUUGCUGGACAGCAACUGACGGUGAGGCGCGAAAGCGUGGGGAGCAAACAGG